rnacentral:rRNA from 1 species
CCUGAGAAACCCAAAAGAUCGAAAGAGGAGAUUCAUCGUCAGCUCAUAAUGUAUAUUUAUAAGUUAUGAUACGAGUUACUAUUUUAUAGUAUUGCUUGUACAUUCUUAUAUUAUUUAGUUGCAAUAUGUUGUCGGCGUGCACUUCUCCUCUAGUAGAACGUCGUGACCCGUUAAAUGUCGGUUUACGAUUCAAGUGAUAGACUUUAAUAUAUUAUUUUAUAUUAAAGAUCCUUGUAAUUUUCUAACCGUCUAUUUAUCGGUAUUCUUAUAGUAUUAAGCCGCAAUAAAUAUGCGUUCAUACCCGUCGCAAGCGAGGCUAAUUUCUAAUAUUAUGGACUUAGUGCCAUCAUUAGUAUUUGCCAGCUGUUGGUUGUAACGGUGUUUCUAGAACUGGCUAAAAAUAUUAUUAUUACUGGUUAGCGAUGCUACUGCNUUGGGUACUUUCAGG